rnacentral:ncRNA from 2 species
AACGGAGACAGGGAAGAGAUCCCGCUGGGAUGCGGGACGCCGAAGGGGCAAGCCUGGACAGGCAAAACCAGGUGAAACUCUCAGGCAAAAGGACCCUGUCCCGCUC